rnacentral:lncRNA from 1 species
AAAUCAGCAGGUUUUAUAACAAAGUACAAUGUCAGGUAAAAAGAGGACCGUAGAUAUCCAGGAUGUUAGAAAGAUUCCUGCCAUUCAGGACCGUAGAUACUAUCAGGAUGUGAGAAAGAUUCCUGCCAUUCAGGACCGUAGAUACUCUCAGGAUGUGAGAAAGAUUCCUGCCAUCCGGACCGUAGAUACUAUCAGGAUGUGAGAAGAUUCCUGCCAUUCAGGACCGUAG